CAUUUUUAUAAUCAUUUAUGGGGUUGAAUGCAUGGACUUUAGGGUCAAGAGUAAAUGUGAAAAGUGGAAGAAAAAGCUUUGGCGUGACUCCCAGGCUGAUACCAUGAAUUAGAUUUAAAGCUACGUUUAGAGAGGUAGAGUCCUGUUUUGAACAGAUGAAAGUCCAUUGAAAGGUAUAAAUGGUGCUUCUCUUCAGAACGGAGGUUACAGACUCAACCAUACAUUUGGCAAUAUGUAAGACACCGGCAGUGAUUGAGCCCAUCAAGUGAGCAAUGUCAGGCAGUGGGCCAAGUAAAAACAGGUAUGAAGUAGAUUAAAGGACAGGAAACCAGAAGAGCAGGUUUGGAAACCACAGAAGAGUCAACGAUGUAGCGGGUCCAGAAGUCUGUCAGCAGUUCAGGGAUCAGUGGAAGACCACAUUUCUAUGCCGAGAGCAUGAGUAACAUUUAGAAACAUGAAUAGUUCAAAUAGGCUUUGAUGAGGUAAAUAUUUAUCGAUGAAUCUUGGCAUCAGAUUUAUUUUCCUGAGUUCAAGGAACUCAACGGCCAAAGAAAGAGAGUGGCAAUUUUCUAAGGAAAAAAAAUGGAGUUAAAAGAAGAAGUUUGUAGACUUUUGUAUUAUUAUUAUUUGCUUUUUCUAGGGAUGGAUCAUAUUUAUAAGCGGAAGAAACCAGGACAGGGAGGAAGGAAAGAUUCGAGAUGUAGGAGAGAGAAGACGAUGCUGAAAGUGUUUGAGGGAUUUGUGUGUGGGAUGAACCCCAACUGCCAGGGGAGAAAUCAGACCAGAGGGGCAGAGGCGCCUCUCCGGAAGAAACCAAGUUCUAUUUCCCUCCACUCCCCUCGCCUCUCAAGAUGUUCAGGAAAUACCUGUGAGAUCCAUGAAGGAAUCUAGGAACUUGGUCUCAUGAUGUGCCAUCAGCUUCUACUGCAUGUCAAGUGUCUGCUUAGGGUCUCUAGGUGCUCGGUACAGGGGAGUUGUGACUGUGGAAAUACAAUAUCAAGCAUGUUCUGUUGUGGUUGUUGUUGAAGUUCCAGUUGAUGAACUAUUGUGGUUUAAGGUGGAACUCAAUGUUUGCUCGUAUGAAUAUUGGGAAAGAUGAGAACUGUAUUUUAAUUCCCCACUAGCACCACAGCUUCAGAAAACUUAGCCCAACCUUCCUGAAGAUCCUUCUCACAUGAACAGUAUCAACGGCUGUCUUUUUAUGGCCCUGUUAGUUCUGAAUAAAAUCAUAUGCUGCACAUGUUCUGAGGGGAAGACAUUCAUUCAUACGCUCUCAGUGUUCUCCCUCCCUCCCUUCUUCCUUCCUCUUUUACUCCUCCCUCCAUUUUAUUUCUCUCCAGGAGUUUAUAAUUUCCCUGUAUCUUAUCUUUCACAAGAUAAAACAUUUGACCUUAAUGUUUCGGCCUCUUGAUUCAUUGAGAACUACUCUUGACAAAAAAAAAAAAAAAAAAAAAUGCAUGUUGGCUGACAAGCCAGAAUCUAUAAAACAGAUCUGCUUACUGUAAAAGGGUCUCCUGAAAGGUAAUGGUGCCUCACUCAGGCUGGAAAGUGGCUGGCAUUGAACAUGAGGUCAUCUCACCGCCCAAGACCCCCUGGGUCUCAGGGCUCAGAAAGGGGUAAUGUUCAGGGAGGCAGUGCCCAAGAGCCCCUCAAGCACAGCUAGCUCUUACGUUUGUGGAUAUAAGAUGCCCUUGGAGGCUGGCAUCGUUUUAAGCAGAGUGCCACACGCCAGGGAACAUAUUUUCCUGCCAAGCUUGCAGUCUUCGGCAAAUUCCACUCAUGCUUCUGCCGCUGUGCUCAGUCCUGCUGCUUUAUCUGAUUCUAGGCUGACCCUUUAUAAUUAGCUCUUCAGGCUGCAGGUAUGUUUAGGAUCACUGUUCCAGCAUGCAAGUGGGAUCUCAAUGAAGCUCAGAAAUAAAAUGAGAGGAACACUUUCUAAUGGAGCUUUACUUCUCUCUCUCUCUCUCUGUCUCUCUCUCUGUCUCUCUCUCUGUCUCUAUCUCUCUGUCUCUCUCUCUUAAAAUUGAGGGUCAAAAUUCUUCACUGAGUUUUAACUGGUAUGUAAAGAGCAAUUACACAUUCUAAAAGACCUCAAUCGAAUAAAAUAGAGCAGACAAUAGGAAAAGUAGGAUGAUAAAGGAAAGUAUAGUACAGAGGGUCUUCGUUUAAUGACUAAGUUUCAAUCCUCUGGCUGCAUCACUGAAUUGUUCUUUAAAUCAGGAGUUGUAUAUGGUAUGCACAUUUCAAUAUUUAGAACAAAGAAAUAAUCAAAAGAAACUCCAACGACAUGACUUUGCUUUUAUUUUCAUAACGCUUAUGUGCAGCCCUGUAGUGUAUAAUAGAACGUCACAGUGCUGUACAGUACAGCACAAUCAGCAAGAAUUACAGCGCUGCACUGUAGAAAGAGACACCAGGAGGCUGCGUUGCCACUCGCCUGUGUCAUAAAUGUGAGUAACUAUUAGGUAAAUGGGUCACUAAAUGAGAACUGUCCUGCAGGUUCGUGAAACAGUAUGUGUAUCGCGCAUGUGUACGCAUGCGUAAUACGGCACAGUACGCCUACCCCUUCUAGAAAUCACUGCAGAACGGGUAUGUGGGCAGCCCAGGCUCAGUUAGCACCAAGGAUGGGGCAUAUGGUCUGCUCUUCAAGGGGCUCUUUGCCUUCAUCUUCCUCCUAAGCAACAUGAGCCCAGCAGCAGAAGAGCAGGGCUAAUGCAGGCAAAGCAAUGAGGAUCUCAUUCUUACUGUCUAGCUGUCCGCUGUCCCAUCUCCCAGAGGCUGAACUCUCAAGGUGAGGCAAUUCCGUAAAGUGUGAACAUGCUCUUUAAAAGUGCACUCCAGGAGGAGAGAGGAAACAGGUAGGAGCAGCAUCAAUGACGGCGCAUCCCACUCAGACCCUUGGGUUUCAUCCACGCAGUCUGGCACGCUGUCGGAGCAGGCACACAGAUCUCAGGCAGAAGUCAUAGGAUGCCCUUGCACAUGUCCAGACAGAUGGCCGGCAGCGGAGGCAUCUGCUCCCAUCGCAGCCAGGAGGGGACACACAGAGUGUCCUCUGGAAUCUGGGACAGAUUUUGUAGCCAUUUGUGACUCCCCACUGCAUAAGCAACAGCUCCCUUGUUUGUCUUUUCUCUUUUUCCCUUCUUGACUUAGUGACUUUCAAGUGCCAUUUAGUGAGAAAAGAAAGAAAAACACAUAUACAGUUUUUUUUCUUUUUAUAAAAGAGUAAAUAUGAGAGUACAUGGAUAAAAAGAACAGAAC
rnacentral:lncRNA from 1 species